rnacentral:lncRNA from 1 species
AGUCAAGCUCAUUGGAACCAUCUUGUUGAACAGGGACCUCAUCUGGGAGAAAGCUGUGGGACUGGAAGUAUCUGUGUGACAAUGUGUGUCUCUAGCAGAGGAGGACUUCAUGUUCAGAGUCCCAAAAGAAAAUAUACUCAAUGCUAAACACCUGGAAGAGGCCCUGAGGUUCACUGUACCCAAGCAGAUGAUGACAGCUACAGACCCUGGCAGAACCAGCCCACGCUGAGCCCCUUUUGCCACUUGGAACACCUUGAAGUGGUCAUACCAAUGACUUCUCUGUUCACUCGACACAGAGCACAGUCCUGCGU